CUGGAAACAUAAUUUGGGAUGACAUUCUUGGUUAUAGUUCACAGAUACGGCACCCUGAUGUAUGACUGGAAACUUCUUUCCCUCAAGAUGAAGAAGUUUGUUGCUUUGCUAGGAAGAAGCAAGAAGGAGGAAUUGGAAAUCAAAGAGAAACUCCUCUGUGUCCUCCUGCAGUCCUACUUGGCCAAGGCAGGAAGGACCCAUGGAGGGGGGCACUGAGCGACCAUGCAGCUGAGCUAGAUCGUCAGACUCUUCCUUCUCUUGAAGCCCUUUGCACCCCAGCCCUGCCUACUGGAGCCAGAGGUAACGGAGAGCAGAGAAGGCAAGUGUUCCCUCCAGCAGUUGCUCCAAAAGUCUUUUGGCAAGAAGGAAAGUUGGUGGGAGGCUGUGCCCCUUCCUGCCCCCCACGCAUCAGGAUGGGAGGAUGUGGCUGUGCUUCUGCCUGGAGCCCCGUGCUCCUGUAACCUGCUCCUUCCAGUGACCUAAGUCGCACCUGGUCUCAGAAGGGGAAGGAAGAGGUAAGAGGACACUCUUCCCACUAUGGCUACAAAAGAGACCUGAUGCCUUCCCUUCAACCACCCCCCCCCCCAAGAGAGUGCAGUUCUCAGAGGCGCCCUCACACCUGCUUGCAUUUUAAUUAAUAUCAUCCCACCAUCUAUCAACAGCAAGUCAACAUGCUUCACACCAGGGGAGAAAAACAAUCCUCGCCUUGUCAGCCCUGCUUCUCCAGGAGCAGCUGAGGGUCUCAACCCCCCCUGACUCUCUGCCACUCCUUUUCCCUGGGGGCUGUUGACAGGGUGCAGUGUGGCUUGCCACGAAGAUGGCUUCGGCAUCAGAAGGUGGCAGCAUGGGAGCGCUGGCUGGAGCUGCCUCUUGGUCAGGUACAGGCACUUAGUACCAGCUCUGUGCUCAGGGCUUUCUGAUCAUUGAAGCAAUGGUGUGCGAAAAGGAUUUCUAUCCUCAUCUUAUCAGAAGGUGCACUAGAAGUUUGGAGAAGUACGGGGACUGCUGAGGUCCCACUGCUGAAGCAGGACCAGGCUGGGCAUCUGAAAGGCAGACCUGGCCUCCAGAUCCCUCAGGCUCUUCCCGCCUCUCUUCCCCAGUACCCCAUGACAGCAGCCUGGGGAAGGGACUGGCCUUGAGUGCUUUUCUGAGCAGCAGAGCUGGUGGGGACAGAGCCUUCCUUCCCCGCAUCCACCACAGCCAUACCCUUGGGACACUGUUUAGCCCACUGGACUUCUGCCAAGUGCUAUCCCAGAUGAUCAACACCGUUUUCUGAGAUAUGAGAUAAUUAACUGCCCCGACUUUAGCAGCAGAAUGAGAAGGGUUCUGUUAGGUGGAGACAGGAGUUAAGAAUAGGCAAGUAUAUCAAUAGAAGGUCAUAGUGUGGAAGCCUCUUUGUAUUUAUGGGGUAUGUGUGCACAGAUGCAUGCCCAUAAGAGUGUGAGGCAGUUGGAACAGUAU
rnacentral:lncRNA from 12 species